rnacentral:rRNA from 1 species
GUAGGGCGCAAGCGUUGUCCGGAAUUAUUGGGCGUAAAGAGCUCGUAGGCGGUCUGUCGCGUCUGGUGUGAAAUCCCGAGGCUCAACCUCGGGCUUGCAUCGGGUACGGGCGGACUAGAGUGCUGUAGGGGAGACUGGAAUUCCUGGUGUAGCGGUGGAAUGCGCAGAUAUCAGGAGGAACACCGAUGGCGAAGGCAGGUCUCUGGGCAGUUACUGACGCUGAGGAGCGAAAGCAUGGGGAGCGAACAGG